rnacentral:rRNA from 1 species
UUAAGCGUACACGGUGGAUGCCCUGGCAGUCAGAGGCGAUGAAGGGCGUGCUAAUCUGCGAUAAGCGCCGGUAAGGUGAUAUGAACCGUUAUAACCGGCGAUACCCGAAUGGGGAAACCCAGUGUGACUCGUCACACUAUCAUUAACUGAAUCCAUAGGUUAAUGAGGCGAACCGGGGGAACUGAAACAUCUAAGUACCCCGAGGAAAAGAAAUCAACCGAGAUUCCCCCAGUAGCGGCGAGCGAACGGGGAGGA